AACGAACGCUGGCGGCAUGCCUAACACAUGCAAGUCGAACGAAGUCUUCGGACUUAGUGGCGCACGGGUGCGUAACGCGUGGGAAUCUGCCCUUGGGUGCGGAAUAACUUCUCGAAAGGGAUGCUAAUACCGCAUAAUGUCGUAAGACCAAAGAUUUAUCGCCCAAGGAUGAGCCCGCGUAAGAUUAGCUAGUUGGUGGGGUAAAAGCCUACCAAGGCGACGAUCUUUAGCUGGUCUGAGAGGAUGAUCAGCCACACUGGGACUGAGACACGGCCCAGACUCCUACGGGAGGCAGCAGUGGGGAAUAUUGGACAAUGGGCGAAAGCCUGAUCCAGCAAUGCCGCGUGAGUGAUGAAGGCCCUAGGGUUGUAAAGCUCUUUUACCAGGGAUGAUAAUGACAGUAUCGGGAGAAUAAGCUCCGGCUAACUCCGUGCCAGCAGCCGCGGUAAU
rnacentral:rRNA from 1 species